rnacentral:misc_RNA from 1 species
GAUAUCGAUUGCGUUUGCAAGUAUUUUCGUUGGCUCGAAAAUUAAUUUAUUAAAUUAUAUUCAAGUGCAUUAUACUUUCAACAGAGUCUAGCAAACAUAUUAUAAACCGGUAGUGAGUGUUAUUUGGAAGGGUUUUAAUGUAGUGCAUAAGUCUGAAAUUGCAUUCCUUGAAAGCUGAUCAACGUGUUGCGCUUUACCUUUGUGUGUUAAACAAAAAAUCCUUGAAAAAGCUUUUGCCGUAGGCAAGGGCACGUAGAAUCAUAAGCGCACCCCAAUCAUACAUGAAGGAAUUGUAAGAUAAGAAGCCACUGAUAAAACAACCAACAAAACGAGUUGCAGUGAAAAGUGUAGUUUUUCAUUCUAAAAAACAAAACGCAAGCACUAAAAUUGGACUACAAAAAAAAAGAAACAAUAAACCAAAUUAUAAAUUCAAAACGAAACGUUUCAUCCACUCAUCAACACUUUGGGGCACGUCAAAUUCAAUUUUCUAACAUUUUCGGAUUGUGAAGUGCGUCCAUUGGAUUGGGUUUGGUUAAUCAUACAUUGCCGUGCAGGGACAUCGCACAUCACUCCCACUACAAUCACCACUACCAUCACCACCACAACCACUACUAUUACUACUACUCCAACCACAGCCAAUAGUGCCCAUAUAGGUGAUUUAAUCACCAUACAUACAUACGUAAUUAGGUUGCAGGACAUCAUCGUCAUCUCAGCGCUUUGUUGUGCAUAUUUGUGGUAGCGCAUGUUGUAAAUUGACCGAAACAAAUAAGCAGCCAUAAGUAAGCUUCAAUAAAAAUUGCUUACACAAACCUAACCUGCAAAGAAAAAAAAUUUAAUAUUUAAAUUUGCAAACUGGGAGUCGCUUAUAUCGAUCAUAAACAAGCAAAUUGCUAAUUACACACACACGCACACACAGUGCUGCUCACCACAAUGAGUUUGUGGAAGAGUAUCGUACGCUCUCCGGAGCUUGAAAAGCGCAUGUCUCAGUACUACGAUGUCAAGGGCCUCGGCGAGAUACGCGUGCAAUUUGCAUCGUGGAUUGAAGAGUUCAUAAUGUCCCAUCACCAAUUGCCAACUAACCAGAAAAUCUUCGAACAAUUAGUCAACGCAUUCUACGACGGACUGAAACAGAAGCUCAUUACAUUGGAUGGUGAUAAUUUGUUAAAGUUUAAAAUUCGUGAAAUUUGCGCGCAUCUCGCACGAACAACACCCCUUGAACUAUACACGUACUUUCGUAACGGUUUACUUCGUGAAAUUCAGGCGUUGAAGGAAGGAAUGCCACAAAAUCCCUACAUGUAUAAUACAGCACUUGUUGGUGGCCAUGUGAAUGGAAUCGGCGGCAUGAAUGCAGGUAAUCCCUAUUUGAGCGGUGUCGGCGUCGGCGUUGGCGUUAGCCACAUCGACGAUGUGAAUAUGGCCGAAGAUGCGUACGCAUUGCCGGCGCGCAUACAGAAAUUAGCCGUCGAUGUUGAGAAUAUGCGUUUGGCCAUACAUAAUUUCCAAGGUGAACAGGAUUCGGUAUACAAUUAUUUUAGUGAUUUCAACCAAACACGUGCAAUGAUGUCGGCACAAGAUAUACAGGAACGUGAAAACCAAUUUAAGGAGCAGUAUCUCAUUUUGUCCGAACGCAAGAAGGUUGUUGUCACCGAUUUGCGACGCGUUAUCAACGAAUACGAUAUGAUACAAGAGCAAGUGAUAAUGGCUUUGAAAAUGUGGCAACGCAAUCAGGCUUUGGCUGGCAAUGGUGCGCCAUUCCACGACAAUUUAGAUGAGAUACAACGUUGUAUAGAGAUGUUGGUGGAUAUGAUUACUAAAAUUCAAUUAUACGUUACUAAUCUGCUCGCGAUGGGCGAAGAUCCGAUUCUGACAGAUUUGCUAAAUCAUGUUCGUUCUACACAAAAAAUUCUGGUGUUGUCGGCUUUUAUAGUCGAACGUCAGCCGCCACAAGUGAUGAAAACACAUACGAGAUUUGCCGCCGCUGUACGAUGGUUGAUUGGCCCACAGCUGGAGAUAUACAGAACUAAUCCAACUAUAGAAUGUGUUAUACUCUCAGAGGCCCAAGCUCAACGGCACGCCGCUCAUAAUAGCAUUACGGACAUGCAAACCGCCGCUCCGCCGCAAUCUUCUGGUGAAAUUUUAAACAACGUCAGCUCUAUGGAAUUCCAACAGGCCACACGAGUAUUCUCAGCCAGUUUUAGAAAUAUGCAAUUGAAAAAAAUUAAGCGGGCCGAAAAAAAAGGCACCGAGAGUGUUAUGGACGAGAAGUUCUCUUUACUCUUCUACACAACUGUCGUUUUCAACGAAUUCAAGAUAAGUUGCUGGACACUUUCUUUGCCAGUUGUUGUGAUUGUGCACGGCAAUCAGGAGCCACAGUCCUGGGCCACAAUCACUUGGGAUAAUGCAUUUUCCGAUAUUACGCGUGAACCCUUCCAAGUGCCAGAGAAAGUACGCUGGCAGCAAUUAUCUGUGGCUUUGGAUACGAAGUUUGGUUCGGCGACAGGAAGAAAUUUAACCGAAGAUAACUUGAACUUUCUAUAUGAGAAACUUUUCCGCAACGAAGCUGGCGAGCAUAAUGAGUUCAUAACUUGGGCUCAGUUCUGCAAAGAACCUCUACCAGAUCGAGCAUUUACCUUCUGGGACUGGUUCUUUGCAAUAAUGAAAUUGACCAAAGAUCAUUUAUUGAAUCUGUGGAAAGAGGGUCUUAUUGUUGGUUUCAUAAACAAGCGCAAGACUUUGGAAGAAAUUUUACCUAUGCAACAAUAUGGCACAUUUUUACUGCGCUUCUCCGACAGUGAAUUGGGUGGUAUAACUGUGGCUUUUGUCGACGAUCAAGGUAAUAAACUUAUGCUGGCACCUUGGACGUCGCGUGAUUUAAAUAUACGUUGUUUGGCGGACCGCAUACACGAUUUGAACGUUUUGCGUACUGUCUUUCCAAAGAAUCUGGCACGUGAUGAGGCGUUUGGAAACUUCUACUCACACCACGUCGCAGAACAAACAACACGUGAUGGCUAUGUUCCGAAUACAAUAAGGGCACACGUGCCGGCCAUAGAGGGCGGUUCCGUGGUGGGCACUCCUCAGCAUCAACCGCAAGAUAUAUCAAUACCGAAGUACUUUAUGCAAUUAUGAUGUCUAAGUUUUUAACAAUUUCUUAAAAAAAAAAUCACUAAUUCAUGGAUAUGUGACUUACUUUUAGUGAUUUUGAUUCAAUAAUUUAUGAUGGAUGCGGAUAGAUACACACACACGCAGUGAUAUACAUAUAUACACACGUUAA